UCGUACGACGAGUUUGAUCCUGGCUCAGAACGAACGCUGGCGGCAGGCCUAACACAUGCAAGUCGAGCGCCCCGCAAGGGGAGCGGCGGACGGGUGAGUAACGCGUGGGAACGUACCCUUUGCUACGGAAUAGCCUCGGGAAACUGGGAGUAAUACCGUAUGUGCCCUUCGGGGGAAAGAUUUAUCGGCAAAGGAUCGGCCCGCGUUGGAUUAGGUAGUUGGUGGGGUAAUGGCCUACCAAGCCGACGAUCCAUAGCUGGUUUGAGAGGAUGAUCAGCCACACUGGGACUGAGACACGGCCCAGACUCCUACGGGAGGCAGCAGUGGGGAAUCUUAGACAAUGGGCGCAAGCCUGAUCUAGCCAUGCCGCGUGAGCGAUGAAGGCCUUAGGGUUGUAAAGCUCUUUCAGUGGGGAAGAUAAUGACUGUACCCACAGAAGAAGCCCCGGCUAACUCCGUG
rnacentral:rRNA from 1 species